rnacentral:rRNA from 1 species
AGAGUUUGAUCAUGGCUCAGAACGAACGCUGGCGGCGUGCUUAACACAUGCAAGUCGAGUGCGCGCCUGUAGCAAUACAGGUGGCGCACGGCGCACGGGUGCGUAACACGUGGGUAACCUGCCCUUUGGUGGGGAAUAACUCCGCGAAAGCGGAGCUAAUUCCGCAUAAGAUCCGCAAGGAUGAAAGCCGAAAGGCGCCGAUGGAGGGGCCCGCGCCCGAUUAGCUAGUUGGUAGGGUAAUGGCCUACCAAGGCUUUGAUCGGUAGCUGGUCUGAGAGGAUGGCCAGCCACACUGGAACUGAGACACGGUCCAGACUCCUACGGGAGGCAGCAGUGGGGAAUCUUGCACAAUGGGCGAAAGCCUGAUGCAGCGACGCCGCGUGGGGGAUGAAGCAUUUCGGUGUGUAAACCCCUUUCGAUCCGGACGAAUACCUCGCAAGAGGGGUGACGGUACGGAUAUAAGAAGCCCCGGCUAACUACGUGCCAGCAGCCGCGGUAAGACGUAGGGGGCCAGCGUUGUUCGGAAUUACUGGGUGUAAAGGGUCAGUAGGCGGUGUGGCAAGUUGGGAGUGAAAUCUCUGGGCUCAACCCAGAGGCUGCUUCCAAAACUGCUGUGCUUGAGUGUGAGAGAGGCGCGUGGAAUUGCAGGUGUAGCGGUGAAAUGCGUAGAUAUCUGCAGGAACACCCGUGGCGAAAGCGGCGCGCUGGAUCACAACUGACGCUGAAUGACGAAAGCUAGGGGAGCAAACAGGAUUAGAUACCCUAGUAGUCC